rnacentral:rRNA from 1 species
UACGUAGGGGGCGAGCGUUGUCCGGAUUUAUUGGGCGUAAAGAGCGUGUAGGCGGUUCGGUAAGUCUGUCGUGAAAUCCUGAGGCUCAACCUCGGGCGUGCGAUGGAUACUGCCGGGCUAGAGGAUGGUAGAGGCGAGUGGAAUUCCCGGUGUGGCGGUGAAAUGCGCAGAUAUCGGGAGGAACACCAGUAGCGAAGGCGGCUCGCUGGGCCAUUCCUGACGCUGAGACGCGAAAGCUAGGGGAGCGAACAGG